rnacentral:rRNA from 1 species
UACGUAGGGGGCAAGCGUUGUCCGGAUUUAUUGGGCGUAAAGGGCGCGUAGGCGGCUUUCUAAGUCAAAGGUGAAAUCCCUCGGCUCAACUGAGGAACUGCCUUUGAAACUGGAAGGCUUGAGGCCGGGAGGGGGUAGCGGAAUUCCCAGUGUAGCGGUGAAAUGCGUAGAUAUUGGGAGGAACACCAGUGGCGAAGGCGGCUACCUGGACCGGUUCUGACGCUGAUGCGCGAAAGCGUGGGUAGCAAACAGG